rnacentral:rRNA from 1 species
CUGGUGAAUAGCUCGGCUUGAGAGCUGAAGACGGACGUGCCAAGCUGCGAAAAGCCUGAGGAAGCCGCAUGGAGGCGAAGAACUCAGGAUCUCCAAAUGGGAAUCCCUCUAACAAUUGCCACGCGCAAUAGGGAACGUCGGGAACUGAAACAUCUUAGUACCGAUAGGAAAAGAACGCAACAGCGAUAUCGUUAGUAACGGCGAGUAAACGCGACACAGUCCAAACCGAAGCCCCUCGGGGCAAUGUGGUGUCCGGACUGACUUUCAUCGAGCGAACUGGAAACUGAAGUCUCUUGGAAUAGAGCGUGAAACAGGGUGACAACCCCGUAAGUUUUCGUAGUACCUCGUGCGUCAGCUCCAGAGUAGCGGGGGUCGGAUAUCCCUCGUGAAUGCAUCUGGCAUCCCCAGAUAAGACUAAACACUCCUCAAGACCGAUAGUGAACAAGUAGCGUGAGCGAACGCUGAAAAGCACUCCAAGACGGACCGUGCAAUAGAGCUUGAAAUCAGUCGGCGAUAGAACGACAGAGCAUACAAGGCCACUUACAGAAUGACCUACGUGCGAACGUACAGUAAGGUGUAAGUGGAGCCGAUGUUGUGUCGUGCGUUUUGAAAAACGAACCAGAGAGUGUACUUCGAUGACGAGUCUAACCUGCGAACCAGGGAAGGCGAAGCGAAAGCGACAAGGCCGCAGCAUUGCGAGGGCCGCCGUGUUCAUAGCGCGGGGAGUCAUCGGGGUACGACCCGAAACCGAGUGAUCUAUGCGCAAACAGGGUGAAGCGUGCCGAAAGGUGCGUGGAGGCCCGUUAGGUGGUGUCCUACAAUACCCUCCCGUGAUUUGUGCAUAGGGGUGAAAGGCCCAUCGAACUCGGCAACAGCUGGUUCCGACCGAAACAUGUCGAAGCAUGACCUCAACCGAGAUAGUCCAUGAGGUAGAGCGACCGAUUGGGAAUCCGGACUCCGAGAGGAGUUCGCUUCCUGUCAAACUCGAACUUAUGGACGUUGUAGACGUUGGGAGUCCGGUGUGCGGGGUAAGCUUGUGCACCGUGAGGGAGACAACCCAGAGCUGGUUAAGGACCCAAAAUGUGGAUUAAGUGCUAUCGAAGGUAGUCUCAAGCCCUAAACAGCCGGGAGGUGAGCUUAGAAGCAGCAACCCUCUAAGAAAAGCGUAACAGCUUACCGGCCGAGGUUUGAGGCGCCCAAAAUGAUCGGGGCUCAAAUCCACUUCCGAUACCUAGCGGCAAACAGAUCGCGUAGGUCGGCGUAGUGUGUGGGUGGAAGCACGGGUGAGAACUCGUGUGGACCACGCAGUAACGAAAAUUCUGGUCACAGUAGCAGCGAGAGUCGGGUGAGAACCCCGACGGCCUUACGAGCAAGGGUUCCUCGGCACCGCCAAUCAGCCGAGGGUUAGUCGAUCCUAAGUCUGCCCGUAAUUCGAAGCAGACAAAUGGGAAACAGGUUAAUAUUCCUGUACCACUCUCAACUCAAAGCUGACGCUUUGGGAACCAUCGAGCCACGCUUUCGCGUGGUCGAAUCAAGGAAAUCCGUGGAAGCUGUAACAGCACGAAGCGGACGAAGCUUGAAACAGCGAAAGUCGAUGUUACCUAGAGCCCGUGAAAAAGCGAUGAGAGUGAUCGUACCAAGAUCCGACACAGGUGCUCAGGCAGAGAAAGCCAAGGCCUGUCGGGAUAACCGACGUUAGGGAAUUCGGCAAGUUAGUCCCGUACGUUCGCAAUAAGGGAUGCCUGCUCUGCAGAGAGCAGGUCGCAGAAACUAGGGCGCUCCGACUGUCUAGUAACAACACAGGUGACCGCAAAUCCGCAAGGACUCGUACGGUCACUGAAUCCUGCCCAGUGCGGGUAUCUGAACACCUCGUACAAGAGGACGAAGGACCCGUCAACGGCGGGGUAACUAUGACCCUCUUAAGGUAGCGUAGUACCUUGCCGCUUCAGUAGCGGCUUGCAUGAAUGGAUAAACGAGAGCGCCACUGUCCCAACGUUGGACCCGGUGAACUGUACGUUCCAGUGCGGAGUCUGGAGACCCCCAAGGGGAAGCGAAGACCCUAUAGAGCUUUACUGCAGGCUGUCGCUGAGACGUGGUCGCUAAUGUGCAGCAUAGGUAGGAGCCGUUACACAGGUACCCGCGCCAGCGGGCCACCGAGGCAACAUUGAAAUACUACCCGUUAGUGACUGCGACUCUCACUCUUAGCAGAGGACACCGGUAGCUGGGCAGUUUGACUGGGGCGGUACGCGCUCGAAAAGAUAUCGAGCGCGCCCCAAGGUUCUCUCAUUCGAGUCGGGAACUCGAAGAAGAGCGCAAGAGCAUAAGAGAGCCUGACAGUGACAUUCCUAACGAGUGUCGCUGACGUGAAAACGUGGUCUAGCGAACCUACGAGGCCUAUUGAUGAGGCCCGUAGAUGACAGAAAAGCUACCUUAGGGAUAACAGAGUCGUCACCCGCAAGAGCACAUAUCGACCGGGUGGCUUGCUACCUCGAUGUCGGUUCCCUCCAUCCUGCCCGUGCAGAAGCGGGCAAGGGUGAGGUUGUUCGCCUAUUAAAGGAGGUCGUGAGCUGGGUUUAGACCGUCGUGAGACAGGUCGGCUGCUAUCUAUUGGGGGUGUAAGGUACUUGAUGUGAACGUUCGUAUAGUACGAGAGGAACUACGAAUGGGCGCCACUGGUGUACCGGUUGUCCGAGAGGGCAGAUGCCGGGUAGCCACGCGCCGAAGGGUAAGAGCUGAACGCAUCUAAGCUCGAAACCUGCAUAGAAACGAAGUACCACCGAGGUCACUCAUAGAAGAUGAGUUCGAUAGACUCGGGGUGUGCGCACCGAGGCAACGAGGUGUUAAGCCCACGAGCACUAACAGACC